UACUACCUGGGUUGAUCCCCAUAAGAUUCAUUAUUCUCUAAGUGUUGCAGGAGACGAAGAUGCGAAAAUAGAUUUUAUUUGGGCUGAAAAAGGAUUUGAGGUCUACAAUAAGUCAAAACCGUCAGGAAAUGAACUUGAGUUCUGGGCAUACAAGGCUUCGAAAGUACCCAAUGUGGUUGUCGUAGGUUUUGGCUCAUGGACCAUUGUCUCAGGAUCAACAACUGACAGUGAGAGUCUGAACCAAUUCACUGACUGCGCAGACGAAUGGCUAAGUGUGGCGAAGGUCCUCAGUGUUCUUGCAGCACGCACCAGUGUACUUGCAUUGACGCAGACAAGAACUAGAGAAUUUGAGACUUUAUCUCGUAUUAAUGCUGUCGGUGUAUACAAAGGGUACGGCUCAGAGACGAACGAAGAUGCCGUUGUAACUGGGAAACUAUUUCGAGUGCUCCAUUACUCUCGACUUUUCUCUUCGUUGUCUGAAUGGAUAGACGAAGUCAUGGUGCGCAUUCCACAAACUUUAGUCAAGGGAAAAGUCACGAGAAAAUGAAAUAAGUAAACUCUAGAACUUGAUAGGCUAUAAGCUUUUUGGCAUGAUUGUUCUGUUGACUCAUAAGCAUAUCAGCAAUGAGCCAAAUACUACCACUUCCAUUUCCUGAACUCCAUUCUGGCACAGGUACAUCAUUUAAAACCUAAAAAAUCUUAAGGCGCAUUUCUUCCAUCCAGCAGAGUUCAUUCACCCCAAAAUUAAAGAGUAUCCUUCAUUCAAAACCUUUAAAACUCCAUUCCCUUGCAAUCAUGCAAAGUAUGCAUGAUAUCUCAUCUACCCGUCUUUUCUAACAUGGGCAAGUCUUACAUCAUAGCAAGAUUAAUUUCAGAAUCUGUAUCAUAUAUAAAUGCAGCAUUGAAUCCAACAAGCCAUUUGCUAUCAUUUAUGCCAAGAGGACAGUUUGCCACAAGAUCCAACAAUGGGAUGAAGAGCUUUUUCCUCAGACCCGCUGUUCAUUACAUAUCUUUUGUAAAUUUCCUAAUGGUUCUAACGUCAGCAUCAAUUUGAUUUUAAUAGACCUUUCCAGAACUAAUUUGUAGUCUCUGGCAUCAUCAGAAAACAGUUACAAGAAUCACGAUGUACAUUUAAAGUCCUGAUUUCCUAUCUGUACCAUCUUUAAUGAAGAUAUAUUUUUUGUACUGUCCAAACUAUAUAAGAUAAAACUUUUAAAGUAUACAAAUCAACAUGUACUCUUCUAAUUAUUUACGUAGAUAUUUUCGAUAUAUGAAAAGAUAAAAGUUAAUUACAUUCUGCUCAUUUUCUACAGCACAUGGCUCUCCAGAACACAGGUGUUACCAUCUGGGACUCGACGUUGCCAAUGAACCUCAUCAACAUAAAAGAAUGUCAAGCCCUUUAUGACUCGGGGAUGACCUGGCAUCCCACUUACUCCGAUCUCUCUUGCCACGAUGAUAUCCACAACGACGCUAACACAGUCAGGGAUGAGAACAUGAUGAUCAUUAACUUUCUAUGCAAUCAAUAUAUAGAGGGCAAUAGGUCAUAUUGCUGUACCAAGUAACAUGGCAAUAAGAAUUAAGAAUGAAACUAAAUGAUUAGCUUGAAAAUGGUGUUUCACUCUUGAUUGUAAACCACAGAAGUGGUUUUGUGUUGUAAAGGUAUUUGCGAUGUAAUAUAUUUUCUAUGUACAUUGAUUGAUGCCAGUAUGGGAGUCUUUUCACUGGAUUAAAAUUGACCCUCAUCAUGUCAUGGCAGCCUAUUGCAGUUUUUAAAAAUUGCAGGCGAUCCCUCUAAACAGUACUUCACAUCAGUCAAAUCCGAUGAAAUAUAAAUUGGAUCAGGGUCUUAACAGAAAGUGAAAGAGGUAAAAGUCCCCUGUUGGUCGAAAAGAACUCUAAGUAGCCGAGGGAUAUAUUAUGGCUUCUUGUCAAUAUCAUAUUUUAUAAUUUCUUAAAAAUCAAGUUCUGAUGUGAGAUGAUUUUACAAAUGUAUGAGUGAGACAGAGAA